AUUGAACGCUGGCGGCAGGCCUAACACAUGCAAGUCGAGCGAGCGGCGGACGGGUGAGUAAUGUCUGGGACACUGCCUGAUGGAGGGGGAUAACUACUGGAAACGGUAGCUAAUACCGCAUACCAUCAGAUGUGCCCAGAUGGGAUUAGCUAGUAGGUGGGGUAAUGGCUCACCUAGGCGACGACCCCUAGCUGGUCUGAGAGGAUGACCAGCCACACUGGAACUGAGACACGGUCCAGACUCCUACGGGAGGCAGCAGUGGGGAAUAUUGCACAAUGGGCGCAAGCCUGAUGCAGCCAUGCCGCGUGUAUGAAGAAGGCCUUCGGGUUGUAAAGUACUUUCAGCGAGGAGGCGUUACUCGCAGAAGAAGCACCGGCUAACUCCGUGCCAGCAGCCGCGGUAAUUC
rnacentral:rRNA from 1 species